rnacentral:rRNA from 1 species
UACGUAGGGGGCAAGCGUUGUCCGGAUUUAUUGGGCGUAAAGAGCGUGUAGGCGGCCAAGCAGGUCCGUUGUGAAAACUGGAGGCUUAACCUCCAGACGUCGACGGAAACCGCGUGGCUAGAGUCCGGAAGAGGCGAGUGGAAUUCCUGGUGUAGCGGUGAAAUGCGCAGAUAUCAGGAGGAACACCAAUGGCGAAGGCAGCUCGCUGGGACGUGACUGACGCUGAGACGCGAAAGCGUGGGGAGCAAACAGG